CGGCGUGCGCCGCGGGAGGCCGAUUGCAAGUGACGACAAGCAAUCGGAACGCGAUAAAAGGUACACACGAGAGCGGAUCGGCAGAGGAUCGCGUUAUGGGCUUAGCGCCCUAGUGCUAGUUGAUAGUUUACUUUCCUAUUUUGCAUUAGAGUUACCCUAUACAUGUAUUGAGAGUAGAUGAUGUAUAGGAUGUGAGGUAUUUUGAGAUAAAUGUAAACUAAUGUUUAUCUUUUGAAGAAUGUAAGCUUAUAUUCAUAGUUUGGAAAAGAAUGCAAGUUGUAAUUAAAUGUAUCGAGCUGAAUGGUUGUAAUAGAAUAGUUAAGUAUCUCUCUUUUGUUUCA